rnacentral:rRNA from 1 species
AAAGAUUAAGCCAUGCAUGUCUAAGUACAAGCCUCAGUAAGGUGAAACCGCGAAUGGCUCAUUAAAUCACACCUAAUGUACUGGAUAGUGACAGUUACUUGGAUAACUGCGGUAAUUCUGGAGCUAAUACAUGCGUACGAGCCCCGACUCGCGGAGGGGCGCUUUUAUUAGACUAAAACCAAACGGCCUCGGCCGUCCCACUGGUGAAUCUGAAUAACUUUGAGCGGAUCGCACGGCUUCACGCCGGCGACGUAUCCUUCCAAGGUGUGCCCUAUCAACUGUCGACUGU